UACGAAGGGGGCUAGCGUUGCUCGGAUUGACUGGGCGUAAAGGGCGCGUAGGCGGUUCGUACAGUCAGACGUGAAAUUCCUGGGCUCAACCUGGGGGCUGCGUUUGAUACGUCGGCGUAGUGAGUGCGGAAGAGGGUCGUGGAAUUCCCAGUGUAGAGGUGAAAUUCGUAGAUAUUGGGAAGAACACCGGUGGCGAAGGCGGCGACCUGGUCCGAUACUGACGCUGAGGCGCGAAAGCGUGGGGAGCAAACAGG
rnacentral:rRNA from 1 species